rnacentral:rRNA from 1 species
CAGUCGAGCGACAGAUAAGGAGCUUGCUCCUUUGACGUUAGCGGCGGACGGGUGAGUAACACGUGGGUAACCUACCUAUAAGACUGGGAUAACUUCGGGAAACCGGAGCUAAUACCGGAUAACAUUUGGAACCGCAUGGUUCUAAAGUGAAAGAUGGUUUUGCUAUCACUUAUAGAUGGACCCGCGCCGUAUUAGCUAGUUGGUAAGGUAACGGCUUACCAAGGCAACGAUACGUAGCCGACCUGAGAGGGUGAUCGGCCACACUGGAACUGAGACACGGUCCAGACUCCUACGGGAGGCAGCAGUAGGGAAUCUUCCGCAAUGGGCGAAAGCCUGACGGAGCAACGCCGCGUGAGUGAUGAAGGGUUUCGGCUCGUAAAACUCUGUUAUUAGGGAAGAACAAAUGUGUAAGUAACUGUGCACAUCUUGACGGUACCUAAUCAGAAAGCCACGGCUAACUACGUGCCAGCAGCCGCGGUAAUACGUAGGUGGCAAGCGUUAUCCGGAAUUAUUGGGCGUAAAGCGCGCGUAGGCGGUUUCUUAAGUCUGAUGUGAAAGCCCACGGCUCAACCGUGGAGGGUCAUUGGAAACUGGGAAACUUGAGUGCAGAAGAGGAAAGUGGAAUUCCAUGUGUAGCGGUGAAAUGCGCAGAGAUAUGGAGGAACACCAGUGGCGAAGGCGACUUUCUGGUCUGUAACUGACGCUGAUGUGCGAAAGCGUGGGGAUCAAACAGGAUUAGAUACCCUGGUAGUCCACGCCGUAAACGAUGAGUGCUAAGUGUUAGGGGGUUUCCGCCCCUUAGUGCUGCAGCUAACGCAUUAAGCACUCCGCCUGGGGAGUACGACCGCAAGGUUGAAACUCAAAGGAAUUGACGGGGACCCGCACAAGCGGUGGAGCAUGUGGUUUAAUUCGAAGCAACGCGAAGAACCUUACCAAAUCUUGACAUCCUUUGAAAACUCUAGAGAUAGAGCCUUCCCCUUCGGGGGACAAAGUGACAGGUGGUGCAUGGUUGUCGUCAGCUCGUGUCGUGAGAUGUUGGGUUAAGUCCCGCAACGAGCGCAACCCUUAAGCUUAGUUGCCAUCAUUAAGUUGGGCACUCUAGGUUGACUGCCGGUGACAAACCGGAGGAAGGUGGGGAUGACGUCAAAUCAUCAUGCCCCUUAUGAUUUGGGCUACACACGUGCUACAAUGGACAAUACAAAGGGCAGCUAAACCGCGAGGUCAUGCAAAUCCCAUAAAGUUGUUCUCAGUUCGGAUUGUAGUCUGCAACUCGACUACAUGAAGCUGGAAUCGCUAGUAAUCGUAGAUCAGCAUGCUACGGUGAAUACGUUCCCGGGUCUUGUACACACCGCCCGUCACACCACGAGAGUUUGUAACACCCGAAGCCGGUGGAGUAACCAUUU